rnacentral:rRNA from 1 species
GAGAGUUAAACAGUACGUGAAAUUGUUGAAAGGGAAACGAUUGAAGUCAGUCAUACCAACGGGAAAUCAACCUUUUGAGUUUGGUCUCGUGGGUUUUGAAGAGUUUUUAAAAGCCUUCGGAUUUUCGAGAUUGGGUUCUUCUGGUGUACUUUCUCGUACGGUUAGUCAACAUCGGUUUUGAAUGUCAUAAAAUGACUGGAGGAAUGUGGCUUCGAUCUCGUAUUGAAGUGUUAUAGCCUUUGGUAGAUGUGAUGUUCGAGACCGAGGAUUGCAACGGAUACCCUUCUGGGUUAUUCGUCUGAUCUCUGAAACGUUGCCUUGAUGUCGAAAGCUUGCUUAUGAUGUUAGGGUAUUACGGUCAAAAGGUUAGAACGGAUUAAAUUCGUUAAGGAUGUUGACGUAAUGACUUUAAACGA